UAUGAUUAAUCCCCUGACAAUGACCUCGCUGGUCUUGUUAUAAUUCAGCCAGUGAAAAAAACUUGGUAGAGCCUCUUAAAAUUAGGAACAUGACUAAAGGCAUUCCUUCCUCAAAAAAAAAAAAAAAAAAAAAAAAAAAAAGGUUAUUUUGAAAGUAAAAUAAACACGCAGUCCUAACAGAUUAACUUCAAAACACCAUGCAGAAUCUCCAUUUUCCACAAUAGGGGGAUUCUCCUGUAAAGUGGUUUAAAGAGACUCUGCUUGAAGAUUUUUUCCCUCUCUAAGGCCAACAUGUGAGCACAUACACCUUCAGGUCACCAGCGUGUAUUUCUAGAAGCUCAGCCCCUGCUCAUGCUUCUGGCUUUACUCCAAGCCCGAGAAAAAUACAGGCCAUGAAACUAUUCCACAAGCCUCUAGCCAGAGUCUUCACUACCCUCCCUGGAGCUCAGCCCCCCACCCCCCGCGAAGGCUCCGGAAGGCUGGCGGGGAGGCUGCGGUACUGGGGAGCUCCAGGGAGGACCCAGCCCACGGCCUCCUGAGCCAGAAGCCCCCCACCGGAGAAGCAGUUUGCUUUUUAAGGCAUUUUCUCCUCCAAGUUAGGAUCAGAGGAGUGGUGCUGGCUGUGGUUGAAAGCUUUUUGGGUUAAACACAAACACUAAUGGAAUGACAGUUGGAAAAAGACAAAUAUAGCAUUACUGUGCCAGGCGUCUCUCGGAGGAGGUGGCGAGAUGGCCCCAGCAGAGCUGCCAGCAAACUGUGGGCUGGUAUCCAUCCUGACCUCCCAGGCCAGGCACAUCCAGACUGGAAGGGGGACUCCUCCCAACACACCCCGAGCACAUCCCAAGAAGCAGGUUCUGCUGAAGCUCCAAAUUGGAUGGAGAAAGAAAAGACUGAAGAUCAUGUUUGUAGGGAGGUGCUCCAACCUCUCUAGGGGGUGACCAGAAGAAAGUUGUCCCUUCUGGAACCAACCAGGGCUCCUUCCUUCCCUGCCAGAAAACAGCUAGUUCUCUGGUGACUGAGAAAACAGGAUGCUCCUCCCCAAGGACCUGAGGGCUAGGCACCUCGGGGACUGCAGUUUCAGCUUGGGGCACAGAUUCCUCCAGAAAGACGUAAGCAGACACCUCAGGGUAGGGGCUGCUCUCCACUCACUGCUCACUCAAAGAAGCAGGUAUAUUUUUCAAAAGGGAAUAUAGUGCACUCAAGGGAUUCUUUUCUGAUGUGUUAUAUCUGUUUAUAUGCAAAGCCCUAUAAAGGUAUGCAAAUUAAAUCACAUGAAGUUAUGUAUUUGUUGAAUAAGGAAGAAUGUGGUAGCCAAAACUAAAAAGGGAGACUUUGGAGAGGGCUCUUCAGAGAACUCUUCUUAGAGGAAGGGAUCUGGGGUCUUCUUCACUGUGUUGAAAAAUUCCUUCCACCAUGCAAUGGAUGCUGCAUUUAUCACAUUAUAUUCUAAAACAUUUUUUCUUUUUUUGUAUAUGCCAGGAGUUCUUUGAGGCCAAAGUCUACACACCACUUAUCUUUGAAUCCCCUGUGUCCAGUGCUAUGCCUUAGAGGAGCCCAAUAAAUUCUCGUCGAAUGGUUCA
rnacentral:lncRNA from 1 species